rnacentral:rRNA from 1 species
UCUGUUGUUAGGGAAGAACAAGUGCUAGUUGAAUAAGCUGGCACCUUGACGGUACCUAACCAGAAAGCCACGGCUAACUACGUGCCAGCAGCCGCGGUAAUACGUAGGUGGCAAGCGUUAUCCGGAAUUAUUGGGCGUAAAGCGCGCGCAGGUGGUUUCUUAAGUCUGAUGUGAAAGCCCACGGCUCAACCGUGGAGGGUCAUUGGAAACUGGGAGACUUGAGUGCAGAAGAGGAAAGUGGAAUUCCAUGUGUAGCGGUGAAAUGCGUAGAGAUAUGGAGGAACACCAGUGGCGAAGGCGACUUUCUGGUCUGUAACUG